rnacentral:snRNA from 14 species
AUAAUUUGAUGGGUUGCACCGAUACCACGAUCAACGGGUUUUCCCAGGAUGAGCCCUGUCCAUUGCACUCUGGGCAGGAUGACCCUUAGGAGUUUCCCAAAUGCAGGAAAAUUGACUGCACAAUUUUGUGGUAAUGGGGGACUGUGUUUGUGCUUUCCCUCU